rnacentral:rRNA from 1 species
GAGUUUGAUCGUGGCUCAGGAUGAACGCUAGCGGCAGGCAUAAUACAUGCAAGUUGAACGGGAUUCAGAUAGCAAUAUUUGAUGAGAGUGGCGCACGGGUGCGUAACACGUAUGCAACUUACCUUAAACUGGGGGAUAGCCCGUGGAAACAUGGAUUAAUACCCCAUAGUAUAUUGAUUAGGCAUCUGAUUAAUAUUAAAGUUACGGCGUUUAAGAUGGGCAUGCGCGUCAUUAGCUAGAUGGGAGUAACGGCUCACCAUGGCGACGAUGACUAGGGGGUCUGAGAGGAUUUCCCCCCACACUGGUACUGAGACACGGACCAGACUCCUACGGGAGCAGCAGUA